rnacentral:rRNA from 1 species
AGUGAACGCUGGCGGUAGGCCUAACACAUGCAAGUCGAACGGCAGCACAGUAAGAGCUUGCUCUUACGGGUGGCGAGUGGCGGACGGGUGAGGAAUACAUCGGCAUCUACUUUUUCGUGGGGGAUAACGUAGGGAAACUUACGCUAAUACCGCAUACGACCUACGGGUGAAAGCAGGGGAUCUUCGGACCUUGCGCGAUAGAAUGAGCCGAUGUCGGAUUGGCUAGUUGGCGGGGUAAAGGCCCACCAAGGCGACGAUCCGUAGCUGGUCUGAGAGGAUGAUCACCCACACGGGAACUGAGACACGGUCCAGGCUCCUACGGGAGGCCGCAGUGGGGAAUAGUGGACAAUGGUCGCAAGCCUGAUCCAGCCAUACCGCGUCGGUGAAGAAGGCGUUCGGGUUGUAAAGCCCUUUUGUUGGGAAAGAAAAGCAGCAGGUUAAUACCCCGCUGGUCUGACGGUACCCAAAGAAUAAGCACCGGCUAACUUCGUG